AACGAACGCUGGCGGCAGGCCUAACACAUGCAAGUCGAGCGAGGACUUCGGUCCUAGCGGCGGACGGGUGAGUAACGCGUGGGAACGUGCCCUUUGCUUCGGAAUAGCCCUGGGAAACUGGGAGUAAUACCGGAUGAGCCCUUUGGGGGAAAGAUUUAUCGGCGAAGGAUCGGCCCGCGUUGGAUUAGGUAGUUGGUGGGGUAAUGGCCUACCAAGCCGACGAUCCAUAGCUGGUUUGAGAGGAUGAUCAGCCACACUGGGACUGAGACACGGCCCAGACUCCUACGGGAGGCAGCAGUGGGGAAUCUUAGACAAUGGGGGAAAACCUGAUCUAGCCAUGCCGCGUGAGCGAUGAAGGCCUUAGGGUUGUAAAGCUCUUUCAGCUGGGAAGAUAAUGACGGUACCAGCAGAAGAAGCCCCGGCUAACUCCGU
rnacentral:rRNA from 1 species